AGAGUUUGAUCAUGGCUCAGAACGUACGCUGGCGGCACGCCUAACACAUGCAAGUCGAACGAAGUAGCAAUACUUAGUGGCAGACGGGUGAGUAACAUGUAGGUAUCUGCCCUUUGGCCUGGAAUAACACGAGGAAACUUGUGCUAAUACCGGAUAAGUCUUUACGGAGAAAGCUUUAUGCACCAUUGGAUGAGCCUGCACUUGAUUAGUUUGUUGGUGGGGUAAUGGCCUACCAAGACUGUGAUCAAUAGCUGAUUUGAGAGGAUGAUCAGCCACAUUGGGACUGAGACACGGCCCAAACUCCUACGGGAGGCAGCAGUGGGGAAUCUUGCACAAUGGAGGAAACUCUGAUGCAGCGAUGCCGCGUGAGUGAAGAAGGCCUUUGGGUUGUAAAGCUCUUUCGUCGGGGAAGAAAAUGACU
rnacentral:rRNA from 1 species